rnacentral:snRNA from 1 species
AUCUUUUAGCUUUGCCUAUUGGCUUAGAUCAAGUGUAGUAUCUGGUAAGCGUAACGAAAUCAGACAAACUCUUCAACUGACUAACUCAUACAGUUCUUUUCAGUUUAAUCUCUGAAAGUCCUCUACGGAGGACACAUUGAUUAUACUUAUUUUUGAAAAUAGUCUGUGAAUCUCCGGGCUUGCCUACGUUCGCGGACAAUGUGUCAUCGGUAUAACACUGCCUCCGAUCGACGCGAACCCUU